rnacentral:rRNA from 1 species
CACGCAUGACACACUGCAUAUCAAUAAGCGGAGGAAAAGAGACUAACAAGGAUUCCCUUAGUAACGGCGAGUGAAGCGGGAAGAGCUCAAAUUUGAAAUCUUCAAGGUUCUACCUUGACGAAUUGUAGUUUAUAGAAGUGUUUUCUGUUAGUGGAGUGGCAAAAGUUCUUUGGAAUAGGACAUCAUAGAGGGUGAGAAUCCCGUAUUUGGUCAUUCCUCCUAGCGUUGUGAUACACUUUCAACGAGUCGGAUUGUUUGGGAAUGCAGUCCAAAAUGGGUGGUAAAUUUCAUCUAAAGCUAAAUAUUGGCGAGAGACCGAUAGCGAACAAGUACCGUGAGGGAAAGAUGAAAAGAACUUUGAAAAGAGAGUUAAACAGUACGUGAAAUUGUCAAAAGGGAAGCGUUUGACACCAGUGUUGUUUUUCCGAAAAUCAAUUACGAAUGUUUUAUUUUUGAGGAGUUAUGACUUCAUCGGCUUGCUCCUUUCUUUAUGAAACUUUCUUAAUGCACUUUUCGGUUAACAAGUCAACAUCAAUUUCUUUUGUUGUAAAAGGGUAUGAGGAAGGUGGCUUUCUUUUCGGAGAAAGUGUUUAUAGCCUUGUAGCCUCUGCAAUCGGAGAGAUUGAGGAUCUGCAGCGUAGAUCCUUCGGGGUUAGAUACGUUUGUGCUAAGUUAUAGCUCUUCAUAGACAACUUGUUGACUAUGAUCAGUCAUGUAGCUUACUCGCUUAUGCUAUUUUACCUACGCUUAGGAUGUUGAGUCGUAGAGCACGCAG